rnacentral:rRNA from 1 species
GACGAACGCUGGCGGCGUGCUUAACACAUGCAAGUCGAACGGAAAGGCCCUGCUUUUGUGGGGUGCUCGAGUGGCGAACGGGUGAGUAACACGUGAGUAACCUGCCCUUGACUUUGGGAUAACUUCAGGAAACUGGGGCUAAUACCGGAUAGGAGCUCCUGCUGCAUGGUGGGGGUUGGAAAGUUUCGGCGGUUGGGGAUGGACUCGCGGCUUAUCAGCUUGUUGGUGGGGUAGUGGCUUACCAAGGCUUUGACGGGUAGCCGGCCUGAGAGGGUGACCGGCCACAUUGGGACUGAGGUACGGCCCAGACUCCUACGGGAGGCAGCGGUGGGGAAUAUUGCACAAUGGGCGGAAGCCUGAUGCAGCAAUGCCGCGUGCGGGAUGACGGCCUUCGGGUUGUAAACCGCUUUCGCCUGUGACGAAGCGUGAGUGACGGUAAUGGGUAAAGAAGCACCGGCUAACUACGUG